GUGCAAACCCCUACUAAAUGAAAAACAGGAACAAAUUGCAAACUAACCACAUAGCAAGUAAGCCUAGACCAUAUGCGUGUAGUGAUAAGAUUAGCGUGGAGUAAAAAGUUGUAAAUAUUUUUAACUUAUGCGAAAUAUCAUAGACCAAAACAUGUUUUCGACAUGUGUGUGUUUUUGGUGUGUAAGCAUGAGAAAAAUAAGUGAUGUAAUGUGUUUUUGAAGGAGACUUAGCACAGUAUAUAAAGAGGCAUCGGAUUGGACUGAGGUGAAGCGAGUUCCCUGUCGGGAGGACAUCAUCUCCGGUGCUACCGACGCCCUGACAGCUUCGUUGCCGACCACUCGCUGGUUCUCCGUCUCAACUUCUGCGGUGACCUCUCUGUCUAGAUUGUGAGGCGACAUCUCCUUCUCUGUGACAACGUCAGCGGACCGUGACCGGACCACGAUAGUGGUGUGGACCUCGUCCCAAUAAAGACCAAAUUUUAUUUAUUUAUUUGACAGAGAGAGGGAGCACAAACAGGAGGAGUGGCAGGCAGGUAGAGAGAGAAGGAGAAGCGGGCUCCCUGCCGAACAGGGAGCCUGACGUGGGACUCAAACCCAGGUCCCUGGGACUACAACCUGGGUUGAAGACAGACGCCCAACUGACUGAGCCACGCAGGUGCCCCCAUUCUUUACUUUCAC
rnacentral:lncRNA from 1 species